UUGAACGCUGGCGGCAGGCCUAACACAUGCAAGUCGAGCGGAUGAAGGGAGCUUGCUCCUGGAUUCAGCGGCGGACGGGUGAGUAAUGCCUAGGAAUCUGCCUGGUAGUGGGGGAUAACGUCCGGAAACGGGCGCUAAUACCGCAUACGUCCUGAGGGAGAAAGUGGGGGAUCUUCGGACCUCACGCUAUCAGAUGAGCCUAGGUCGGAUUAGCUAGUUGGUGGGGUAAAGGCCUACCAAGGCGACGAUCCGUAACUGGUCUGAGAGGAUGAUCAGUCACACUGGAACUGAGACACGGUCCAGACUCCUACGGGAGGCAGCAGUGGGGAAUAUUGGACAAUGGGCGAAAGCCUGAUCCAGCCAUGCCGCGUGUGUGAAGAAGGUCUUCCGAUUGUAAAGCACUUUAAGUUGGGAGGAAGGGCAGUAAGUUAAUACCUUGCUGUUUUGACGUUACCAACAGAAUAAGCACCGGCUAACUUCGUG
rnacentral:rRNA from 1 species